rnacentral:rRNA from 1 species
UACGGGGGGGGGCAAGCGUUGUUCGGAAUUACUGGGCGUAAAGGGCUCGUAGGCGGCCAACUAAGUCAGACGUGAAAUCCCUCGGCUUAACCGGGGAACUGCAUCUGAUACUGGAUGGCUUGAGUUCGGGAGAGGGAUGCGGAAUUCCAGGUGUAGCGGUGAAAUGCGUAGAUAUCUGAAGGAACACCGGUGGCGAAGGCGGCAUCCUGGACCGACACUGACGCUGAGGAGCGAAAGCCAGGGGAGCAAAGCGGGG